GCGCAGGGCUGGCAGGGGACGGCGGGUCCGCGCUCCGCCUGAGGGAGGGAGGGACGGAAGGCGCUGCUGGCCUGGCUCUAGGGUGACAGGUGCUCGCCUCGGCUGGGCAGGCGGCCUGAACCACGCGCGGCUGCCCGCUGCUCUGCGCCUGCGCAAGUCUUCCCGCUCCUGCCUGCCUGCCAGAGUGCUGAAGGUUUUAGUCCUUGGCCAAGAAAGGAGUCAUACUACAUUUUUAAAGAGAAUUUGGAAGUUGGACUUUUCAAGUACCAGGGAUCAAACUCGGGACCUUGGGCUUGCGAGGCAGGCAGCAGAACCACUGAGCUAAAUCCCCGGCACAUGCAUGGACCAUAUUUCUUGAACUAUGUUUCUUCCACUUGAAGACUCCUUAACAGGGAAGCUGGAGAGCGAAGCCUUUGUCUGUUUAUCAAGCCAGACUUCCCCACUUCCAUGAUGGUGAGUCAGGUUCAGACAGGCCUUCUAUUGGAGGGGAUUCCAGGCUAGCCACAAC